rnacentral:misc_RNA from 1 species
AACGCAAAUUGCACUUUCUGGUAUUCCGGAAAGUAUGCCUGUUUGAGGGUCAGUUAAAUAAAAAUCGGUGUUGUUGCUGCUUUUCGUGGUGACGCGUCGGAAUUGAGUUGUCUUACCUUCGGUUAAGUGACUUAAAAUUUUGCAUGAUUUUCGAACGUAUUUAAAUUUCUUACGUACGUUUGAGAUAUCGAAUACUUUAUUAGGUUCGGUCAUCCUCAUGAUUCGCACCUAUAAUUUUUCAUUAAAUGACCUCAAAUCAGGUAAGAAUACCCGCUGAACUUAA